GCCACUGCUAUUGGGGUUCGGCUAAGCCAUGCGAGUGGAGGGCGUCCCGCAAGGGAUGGCCCCGCAGACGGCUCAGUAACACGUCGUCAACCCACCUUAGGGUGGGGGACAACCUCGGGAAACUGAGGAUAAUCCCCCAUAGGCGGGGGAGGCUGGAAUGCGCCCCCGCUGAAAGCUCAGGCGCCCUAGGACGGUACGGCGGCCUAUCAGGUAGUUGGUGGUGUGACG
rnacentral:rRNA from 1 species